AUGCCGAAAUCCAAGCGCAAUCGCUCAGUCACCCUGUCAAAGACCAAGAAGAAGCCGGGGCUAGAGCGGAAGGGCAAGGUGGUCACGGAGAUCAAAGACGCGAUUGAGCGCCACAGCAGCGCCUAUGUCUUCACCUACAACAACAUGAGGAACCAGAAGCUCAAGGACCUCAGGGACCAACUCAAGUCCUCUAGCCGGAUAUUCCUUGCUGGAAAGAAGGUCAUGCAGAUAGCAUUGGGGCGGUCACCUGCUGAUGAAGCUAAGACAGGCCUGCAUAAACUCUCCAAGUUCCUUCAAGGUGCUUCUGGAUUGUUAUUUACAAAUCUCCCAAGGGAUGAUGUCGAGAGAUUAUUCCGAGAAUUUGAGGCGAAUGAUUUUGCGAGGACAGGAAGUAUUGCGACUCAAACGGUUGAGCUAAAGGAAGGCCCUCUGGAACAGUUUUCACAUGAAAUGGAACCCUUUCUGCGCAAACAAGGACUGCCAGUUCGCCUAAACAAAGGUGUUGUUGAAUUGGUUGCAGAUCAUGUAGUAUGUGAAGAAGGAAAGCCCCUUUCACCAGAAGCAGCACACACUCUGCGCGUGCUUGGGACGAAGAUGGCGACGUUCCGACUGUACCUUGUCUGCCGCUGGUCGUCCGAUGACUUUGAAGUGUACAAGGAAGGCUUGGCGCACCUGGGAGGUGAGGAAGCUGACGAGUCUUCUUAA
rnacentral:rRNA from 1 species